rnacentral:rRNA from 1 species
AACGAACGCUGGCGGCAGGCCUCAAACAUGCAAGUCUAGGGGUGUAGCAAUACAUCACCGGCGGACGGGUGCGUAACGCGUGGGAAUAUACCUAUCGAUUCGGAACAACUGAGGGAAACUUCAGCUAAUACCGAAUACGUCCUAACGGAGAAAGAUUUAUCGUCGAUAGAUUAGCCCGCGUUCGAUUAGCUAGUUGGUGGGGUAACGGCCCACCAAGGCGACGAUCGAUAGCUGUUCUGAGAGGAAGAUCAGCCACACUGGGACUGAGACACGGCCCCGACUCCUACGGGAGGCAGCAGUUUGGGGAAUCUUGGACAAUGGGGGGAAACCCUGAUCCAGCCAUGCCGCGUGAGUGAUGAAGGCCUUCGGGUUGGUAAAACUACUUUCGCGCACGACGAUAAUGACGGUAGUGCGAGAAGAAGCUCCGGCUAACUUCGUGCCAGCAGCCGCGGUAA